rnacentral:rRNA from 1 species
CCUACGGGUGGCAGCAGUGAGGAAUAUUGGUCAAUGGGCGUAAGCCUGAACCAGCCAAGUCGCGUGAGGGAUGAAGGUUCUAUGGAUCGUAAACCUCUUUUAUAAGGGAAUAAAGGGCGGGACGUGUCCUAUUUUGUCUGUACCUUAUGAAUAAGGAUCGGCUAACUCCGUGCCAGCAGCCGCGGUAAUACGGAGGAUCCGAGCGUUAUCCGGAUUUAUUGGGUUUAAAGGGUGCGUAGGCGGCCUUUCAAGUCAGCGGUGAAAGUUUGUGGCUCAACCAUAGAAUUGCCGUUGAAACUGGGGGGCUUGAGUAUGUUUGAGGCAGGCGGAAUGCGUGGUGUAGCGGUGAAAUGCUUAGAUAUCACGCAGAACCCCGAUUGCGAAGGCAGCCUGCCAAGCCAUGACUGACGCUGAUGCACGAAAGCGUGGGGAUCAAACAGGAUUAGAUACCCUAGUAGUC